ensembl:misc_RNA 7SK 7SK RNA
GGAUGUGAGGGCGAUCUGGCUGUGACAUCUGUCAACCCAUUGAUUGCCAGGGUUGAUUCGGUUGAUCUGGUUGACUAGGCAGGUGUCCCCUUCCUCCCUUACUGCUCCAUGUGCGUCCCUCCCGAAGCUGCGCAGUGGGUCAAAGAGGACGACCUUCCCCAACAGAGGAGGACCAUUCUUUGGUCAAGGGUAUACGAGUAGCUGCACUCCCCUGCUAGAACCUCCAAACAAGCUCUCAAAUCGUUGCUAUAAACAUCUAUGUAAAACUGAAGGAAGAAUACACAUGAGGGUAGAUCUCUGAAUAUUUGUUGACUAGUUAGAAGAAAAAUUUU